CAAAGAAAAAUUUAAAAAUUCGAACCGAUCAACAUCUUAAGUUGCAUUUCGUUCAUAGUUUCACCGGUUGAACUGCAGGUUCUAUUUAGUGUGAAUACGAGAUCUUUGGAUUUAAGCAAUUUGAAUUAUUUUGUCUUUGAAGUUCUUUUCCUCUGCAGUAGAGCAUGUUGUGUCGCCAUAUUGAAUUAAAUUAGUAGAAAUUCAGGCAGACGAUUUGUAUUCGGCACAACAAUGUAUAACCAAGAAAAGAUGUUUGUUUGUCUUCUAUGUUCCCAUACGAGCAAGUCGCAAUUAAGCAUGAGAAGCCAUGUGAUGGAAACACAUGUACCAGAAGAGUCAUUUUAUAAAAAAAGUAACACAUGUGUUGAUAAACAGGUUAAUUUUUCAGCAAACCAACAUAUCUGCCAAAUCUGUCUCAAGUCAUUUAGAGAAAAAUGGCAUCUGAAGAACCACAUGCGAUCUCAUGCCCCACGAAUGAAACGUAGGAAAAAGCAUACCUUGUCUCAUACAGAACAGUUCUUCCACAGUGACAGUUUGCAACCUGUUCGUCGGAGUAGCAGAAGAGCAAAGCACCCAUUGCCAAACGAUGAGCAUGAUAAGGAUACAGCAGUGUGUAAACCCCUUCAGAAUACCGAUCUCCAGUCACACAUUAGUAGUCAAGAUUCCUCUUUUGUUGGCGUGAACUGCUGGCCGAAGGUUGUUCUUUCUUCUCACUUGAAUCAUCUUUUGUGUCGCACCUUUGGAGGGCACGCCAAAGUAUAAAAUACCCGAGAUUCAACUGUAUUCCAAUACUCGUGAUUGAUGUUACAAAGCGGCUACUGUUCAUUAAUGGCUCAAGGCUUCACUUUUGAAAAUCCGUAGUUAUUGUGGCAACUAAAAAACAACCAUCUUUCUAUUCCCCAUCUUAAUAUGAAACGAUAGUAGUGACAGCUUUUACAGAUGCGUAUUGUAAUGUGGAUCAUCUACGAACAGUUAACUAGAACUCAAGUAGUUUAACCUAAAAGAAUCGCCCCGUCUGUAUGCGUACAUUGAGGAUCAUAUUAUCAUCGAAACUUUUCCAUUGGGAAAUUGAUAUAGUACUAUAAAAUUCCUGACAACCAUCAAUAAUCAUAGCAUGCACUAUAACUGUCAUGUGUCGUCUUUAAAAGACGUCUAUCCGUAUCCUAGAUCAUCACAAUGAUAUUCCUCAUCAAAUUGCUAAUCGUCUCCGGCAUCGUAAUACUCGGACCGUUGAAAUGCUUUUCUAUUCAGAUUAAACUACAUGUUAUAUGUAUAUAGUUACACAUUAACGUGCACGCGGCUAAAACAGAACAAUAAACAGUAUUUAUAAGCUUGUA
rnacentral:misc_RNA from 1 species